CUGCGUGAAGGGGAGGGGGCGCCGGCGGAGCGGGUCCUCGGCAACCGAGCUCGGGUUGCCAUGGCGACGGGGAGGUCUUUAAGGGCCUGGUAGUCUCUACAAACACACUGCACCUGCUCUUUCUCUUGGCCCUCGUGAGGAGACACCUCAGGUGCCAAGGAAGAGUGAAUUGUCACAUCAGAGUGAGAGAACAGAGCAGUGCCCUCAGAGUACCUCAAAGUACCGUCAGUGGCAAGGACCAGAGAAGAACAAAGUGAUAAAUGCACAGAGGAGGAAGAACAAGAGCUUUAUCUACCAAAUAACCUGGACUGGACAAACUACCAUGGUGAGCCAACUGAAAUUAUGUGUAAAAUAUUAUAUAUAUACCUGUAUUGUACACAUAUGCAUUUUCAAGAGGAAGUGCCCUCGAUUCCAUCGAUUUCACAAAGAAAUCACAACUCAGAAAAAAAGGCUAGGCUUCAAUGUCCCCUUAAAUUCUGCAAUUCUGAGAUUCUUUAUUUUAUUUUUGUCAACACUAUUGACAUAUCUGUCAGGAAAUGGACUGUCAUGCCAAGCUUCCUGACCAAGCAAAGGGCAGAGAUAUUUUUAUUUUAAACUAGAGAGUCAUACCUAGAACGAUUUAUUUAGAAAGUAUCCAGAUUUCCUUACUGGGCAAAAUAUGGUCUUCAAAAAACAACUCUUAAUUUGCUUUUCUGCAAUUUACAUAAAUGGAUCAGUCAUGAAGAUCUUUAUUUUCAAAGAGGUCUUGCAUUUAUUAAAAAGAUUUGCAACAAAUUGAUAUAAGCCUCACUAACCCCUCUUAGUUUUUUUUUUAUUAUGAAGGGAUAACAACAUACAGAUUACUGCACAUACGAAUGUACAUAAAUGUACAGCCCAAUGAAUUAUCACAAAGCAAAAACCCACAUAACACCACCCUACCAAGUCACAGAACUUUGCCAGUUUCCCAAAGCCUCCUCCCAGUCACUACCGCUAGUAUUCUCCCCAAACUAGUAUCCCGACUUCUAAUACGGUAGCUUAAUUUCCCAUUUAAACUUUAUAUAUGGAAUCAAAUGAGAUGAUUUAAUAUUUAACACUGUGAGAGUCAUCCAGGUGGUUGAAUACAGUUAUAGUUUACUGAUUUUUGUUGCUAAAUAGUAUUUCAUUAUUGUAAUUACCCCUUAUUUAUUUAUCCAUUCCACUGUUGAAGGGCAUUUGGGUUAUUUCCGGUUUUUAGUUAUUGCGCAUAAUGCUGCUAUAAACAUUCUUGUGCUUCACUUUCACUGCGUGUAUAUACACAUCUCUGUUGGGAAUAUACCCAGAAAUAAAAAAUGAAUGAAUCUUAGCUGUAGAUCAGCACCAUCCUAGAAAUAUAGUACAAGUCAAGUCAUAUAUGUAAUUUAGAAUUUUCUAGUAGCCACAUUAAAAAGGUUUUUUAAAAGUUAAAUUAAUAUUAAGCGUGCAUUUUAUUAAUCCAGCACAUCCAAAAUAUUAUCAUUUCAGCAUGUCCUCAGUAUGAAAAUUAUUAAUCAGAUAUUUUUACAUUUUUUUUACAUAUUAAAUCUUCAAAGUUCAAUGUGUGUUUUACAUUUAUAGCAAUUGGACCAGCCACAUUUCAAGUGUCCAAUAGCUAACGUGGUUAUGAACUGCUACACUGGCCAGUGCAGCUCUAGGUAAUACUAACAAACAGUAUUCCAAAGUGGUUGUGCCAGGUUACCUUCCUGACAAACAGUGUUAUGAAAGUUAGACAAUUGUUGGGGUGCCUGGGUGGCUCAGUCAG